GGAGAGGUGGCCGAGUGGCUGAAGGCGCACGCUUGGAAAGCGUGUGUACGUUAAUAGCGUACCGUGGGUUCGAAUCCCACUCUCUCCG
rnacentral:tRNA from 1 species